CACUGCCAUGCCCAGUAGCGGCGAGUGAAGCGGCAAGAGCUCAGAUUUGAAAUCGUGUUUCGGCACGAGUUGUAGAGUGUAGGCGGGAGUCUCUGUGGAGCGCGGUGUCCAAGUCCCUUGGAACAGGGUGCCUGAGAGGGUGAGAGCCCCGUAGGGUGCUGCGCGAAGCUUUUGAGGCCCUGCUGACGAGUCGAGUUGUUUGGGAAUGCAGCUCCAAGCGGGUGGUAAAUUCCAUCUAAGGCUAAAUAUUGGCGAGAGACCGAUAGCGAACAAGUACUGUGAAGGAAAGAUGAAAAGCACUUUGAAAAGAGAGUGAAACAGCACGUGAAAUUGUUGAAAGGGAAGGGUAUUGGGCUCGACAUGGGGGGUGCGCACCGCUGUCUCUUGUAGGCGGCGCUCUGGGCGCCCUCUGGGCCAGCAUCGGUUCCUGCUGCGGGAGAAGGGGCUCCGGAAAGUGGCUCUUCGGAGUGUUAUAGCCGGGGCCAGAUGCCGCGUGUGGGGACCGAGGACUGCGGCUUCUGUCUCGGAUGCUGGCAUAACGGCGCAAUACCGCCCGUCUUGAACC
rnacentral:rRNA from 1 species